AGUUAACAUAGCCCUGGGACGAGACUGAGGAUGUGAGCUGUUGUUCGCCCCAAAUGACUGCAGACCCUCCCAGAGAUGGCGAUGGACUCUGCCUUCACUCUGCAGCUGUGCCCUGGGUCUGGUCAAGCCCUGCUAGAGCCUCAGCGGAGCUCGUCCGCAGGUGCCAGCAGAGGGCGCUUCACAUUCUCGUGGAAGGGGCCGGGAGGGCGCUCUCCUGGCAACAGUGAUUUCUGUUUAUUUAAAUCAGCAGGACAUCCCCAUAAUUUGCAUGUAUCCUUCCUCCUAUAUGUGAAGAGACCCUGCCUCUCGGUAUCUUAAAAGAGGUUCUUUCUCUGGGAUGUGGCAUGAGCAAAACUGACAAGUCAAGGCAGGAAGAUGUCCCCAUCACAACUCAUUGGGUUUCUGCUGCUCUGGGUUCCAGCCUCCAGGGGUGAAAUUGUGCUGACUCAGUCUCCAGACUUUCAGUCUGUGACUCCAAAGGAGAAAGUCACCAUCACCUGCCGGGCCAGUCAGAGCAUUGGUAGUAGCUUACACUGGUACCAGCAGAAACCAGAUCAGUCUCCAAAGCUCCUCAUCAAGUAUGCUUCCCAGUCCAUCUCAGGGGUCCCCUCGAGGUUCAGUGGCAGUGGAUCUGGGACAGAUUUCACGCUCACCAUCAAUAGCCUGGAAGCUGAAGAUGCUGCAACGUAUUACUGUCAGCAGAGUAGUAGUUUACCUCACACUGUGUUACAACCGAGAACAAAAACUAGUUCAGCCUGGCUGAACAGAGAAACUGGGUGAUACCCUAGAAUACUUCUGAUUGUUGCAGGUGCUUCAGGGGCAAUGAGUUAACCAAUACAAUGAAGUCUGGCUCACCCAGCAGAGAGGAAA